CACCCCCACCCCCACCAGCACACCUGGCCAGCCGAAAGCUAUUUUCUUCCCCAGCUCGCGAUCCGUUUUGCGACGAUACUGCGCCAUUCCUUCCCGUCGCUCGAUCGCGAUCCGUUUCCCGACGCCGCUGCGGGGGAUGGCGCCGCCAGCCGCCGGCUGCUGGCCAACCUCUUCAUUCCCGACACCGCAGUUGCCUUCGCCGUCGACCAGGACAGUAAUACCCCUGCCACCGCCGUUGCUCUCAUCGUCGAUCUCGCGCCGACCCUGUAACAAGCGCCCCAGCCCCCAUCCAACCCCUCUUCCCCCACUCUCUGUCGGCAAUUUGCCAUUUUCCCAUCCCGAUCUCGCCUGGGUUUGGAGACAGAUUCACAGCGUUGAAGAUCGGCGGCGCCAGGUUCCCAUCUUUUUCCUUCGCCAUGGAUUUGACUGAAUAAAUGAGACGUGAAGCCCUCCUGCAACAAUUUAUGACUGUGCUUGUCUCCUGAUCGUAUUAUAUUUGGACAACCUACAUCACACACUCUCCCGGAUGAUUGGAUUUCCACACCCCGCACGAGAUUCUAGCAGAAAUCCCUGGUUGAGUGGCUAACAAAUGCGGAUCCAAUUAGAUGCAGGGAUAGAACCGAUAAUUUAAGCUGGGCAAGCACUUAUUACACUGCAGCUGACAGUGCACCAGAUGAAUUUUGCACAUGGAAAUGAAGUCCAUCAGAGAAGGUGACGAUCUAGUGGUGAAAGCUUGCAAAAGAAAUGGGCACAGACAACCAAUAGAAACUCAAACUCUGGCUAACAUAGGCGCUUCUGCUUUGUGGCAUUGAGGCAACACAAGGGCAUUGAGUCAUGAAUUAUAAGAUUUUUGUAUGGUAAAGAGUCUUUCACUUUGGUCGAUAAGAAUUCUGGUUGCUGAGUUCUGGGAAAUGAUUUGCGAAGUCCAGUCAAGAGCAUCUAGGUGGGGAUGUAUACAGGCUUGUACCCAUAUCCUGCCAAAGUGCCAAUAGCAUAGUGCAAUUUUUUCCUUGUGACGAAUCCAGUAUUUGGUGCAACAGAUAUUCACUGUCUGAUCAUAUUAGCCAACUUUUCCUGCAACAUUUAUUUCACUAUUUACUGCCAUGUCAGUUUAGCAAAGCAUAAACACUUCUGUUUUGGAAUGUAAAUCAUUCAGCCAUGUGCAGAAUGAUAAAGAACAUCCACUUCCUACCGACAAA